rnacentral:sRNA from 1 species
UUUACUGUCCGCGUGAGCAUAGCUGCUGUCCAGGGCCAGCCCAGCACAGGCACAGCAGUGGGUGACAGUCCCAGAAGGGGAUCCCCCAGUUGGCCUCAGGGUCUCUGAGUGUACCAGGUCAGCCGGACCCAGAAAGGGCCAAGGAGGGCUGGUCCCUGUUGGUUGCAAACUCCUGAAGCUGCUCUUGACGUGUGGUGGCACCUGGGCUGGAAAUUGGAAAAACACGCGGCUUCGUUUCUGGACCCACAGUCCGCCUCGCUCUUUUACUUUAGAAGGAAUUGCUCCAAGCAGAGUCUGCACAGGUUUCCCCUGUGGCUUUUCUUCAGAGAGCGUGUUGACCCCAGCUAGUGUCACGGUUCUCACACUGUGAUCUCAGGGCCCUUGACAUUCCCCAGGAUUACGGAGGACCUCAGAGAGCUUUCCCUUUUGAAACUCAUUGUUGCAGAGUCCAGACACAAAGUGGAUCUUAGAAGUCUAGAAUGUGAAGCUGACUUUGGGUUGAUCUGGAGGUAGUGAUCCUUGGAAAAUUUGGAAAUAACCUGGCAAAUGUCACCUCGUGAGCUGGCAGCGUUUUGUGACAAAAUGACAAGGCUGUGACAGAAGGGUCCAGACUGACCCCUGCAACACAGCCAGGGAAGUGGGACAGAGAGGGAUGGAUGGCUGUCCUGCAGGAGGCAGCCUGACCUGAGAGCUCCCCUUUAAAAACGUUUGGUGAGGAAGGGCCCCUCUCUGGCUCGCCGUUUGUAGUAAAUGAGCUGGGCUUGUGGGCCUGUCUGUCUGUCUUGCUUGGGAAAGGGGAGGAAGCCCCUCAGCCUGGCUUCCCCAGCCCUUCUGGGAGCCAGCACUGUGGGUGAUUGGGUUUUCCCAGGGUGAGCGUCGGAGCCUGUGGGGCUGGUGCCCUGUGUGUGGGGUCUGGUGGGCCUGUCCACCUCUCAGCGGAGGUGUGGAGCGGCCCCUCAGUGAGGACACGCAGUGGGGGGUUUUCUGCCCCAGCCCAGGAGUGAACGGCGAGGCCAGUGGGAGACAGGAGCGUGCUCCUGCAGCCCAGUGCCUGCACCCAGGGCAGUCAGGGAUGGCGCCUUCCUGGGUCACACACUCCCCACGCUUGUGGGUGGUCCCCGCAAACCCUUGCCUGGCCUCGUGGGCAUAGCAGGAAUGACCCCUGCCUCGCUGAAGCUGCUGCUCUCUGCUUCCUCGGUCUAUUAAUAGGGACCCAAGUCUGAAAAGAAGAAACGCAGGCGGGGCAGAAAAGAGGAGCCCGAAGGUGGUAGCAAGCCAGCGUGUGGGGGAGCUGGCACCCAGGGGCCUGUGCAGGUGGUCAAGGAGGUGGUGGCCGAGGAUGGCACCGUGGUCACCAUUAAGCAGGUGCUCACCGCCCCAGGCUCGGUGGGGCAGCCCCGGUCUGAGGACGAAGACAGCCUUGAGGAGGCCGGCAGCCCCGCACCUGGGCCGUGUCCACGCUCCAACGCCAUGCUGGCUGUGAAGCAUGGGAUGCUCUACGUCUAUGGGGGCAUGUUUGAGGCCGGCGACCGCCAGGUCACCCUCAGCGACCUGCACUGCCUGGACCUGCACAGGAUGGAGGCGUGGAAGGCCUUGGUGGAGAUGGACCCAGGACAUAGCCACCACCGUCCCGCAGCCUCCCCCACCUGCCUCAGCUGCGCUGACGUGUAUGUGUGUUCAUUCUGCUUUUGAAGAAACUCAGGAGUGGCUGGAGGAGACGGACUCGGAAGAGGACAGUGAGGAGGUUGAGGGCGCCGAGGGUGGGGUUGACGACCACGACAGCGGAGAGGAGAGCGGCGCGGGGGACUGAGAAGAGCCCCUGCCAGGGGCGCCUGGCAAGUGCUGUGCCCACGUCCGCCCAGGACCCAGCCGUGUUGAGUGAAGCUCUUGGGGCCAGCGUGCGCCCUGACGCACAGGAGAGAGCUGAAGGUGGGUGGCCCAGGCCAGGGUGUGAACUUUCUCCCAUGGUUUAGUCUCUGACGCGGCGCUGGGCCGGAAGUUCAACUGAGUGCAGUGCAGGUGGAUUCCCUCAGCAGCCUGUGUGUUGUGUGAAAUAAAUUGGACUUGAAAC